rnacentral:rRNA from 1 species
GGCGAGCGAACGCGGAGGAGGCCAAACCGAGGGACGCAAGUUCUUCGGGGUUGCGGACAGACAUCAAGACCAGAGGAAAUUAAGAGAACGGCGUGGGAAAGCCGGCCACAGAAGGUGAGAGCCCUGUAUCUGAAAAUGAAGACUGGCAGUCUGGAUCCAGAGUACCGCGGGACACGUGAAACCCCGUGGGAAACCGGGUGGACCACCAUCCAAGCCUAAAUACUACCUGAUGACCGAUAGAGGAGCAGUACCGUGAGGGAAAGGUGAAAAGGACCCCGGGAGGGGAGUGAAAGAGAACCUGAAACCUUGUGCUUACAAGCACUCAAAGCACGUUAAAGUGUGAUGAGGUACUUUUUGUAGAACGGUCCGGCGAGUUAUAGUAACGAGCAAGCUUAAGGUAUUCAGUACCGGAGGCGAAGCGAAAGCGAGUCUGAAUAGGGCGCAUGAAGUUCGUUGCCAUAGACCCGAAACCGGGUGACCUAACCAUGAGCAGGCUGAAGUGAGAGUAAAAUCUCAUGGAGGGCCGAACGCACGUUCGUUGCAAUGACCGGCGAUGACUUGUGGUUAGCGGAGAAAUUCCAAUCGAACUCGGAGAUAGCUGGUUCUCCCCGAAAUAGCUUUAGGGCUAGCGUUAGUUUAGAUUACCGGAGGUAAAGCACUGAAUGGUUUAGGGGCUGAUAAAGUUACCGACGCCUAUCAAACUCUGAAUGCCGGAUAAUUGAUGACUAGCAGUCAGACAGUGUGAGAUAAGUUUCAUUGUCAAAAGGGAAACAGCCCAGACCUACAGCUAAGGUCCCAAAGUAUAGUUAAGUGGAAAAGGAUGUGGAAUUGCAUAGACAACCAGGAUGUUGGCUUAGAAGCAGCCACUCAUUAAAAGAGUGCGUAAUAGCUCACUGGUCGAGUGACUCUGCGCGGAAAAUAUAACGGGGCUAAGCAUGAAACCGAAGCUUGGGCUUGUACUUAGGUACAGGGGUAGGGGAGCGUCGAGUAUGGGGUGAAGUCAGAGCGGAAGCACUGGUGGACUGUACUCGAGUGAGAAUGCCGGAAUGAGUAGCGAGAAUUAUGUGGGAAUCAUAAUGGCCGAAAAUCUAAGGUUUCUUGGGGAAGGUUCGUCCGCCCAAGGUAAGUCGGGAGCUAAGCUCAGGCCGAGAGGCGUAGGCGAUGCACAUACGGUAGAAAUUCCGUAACCACCGAAACUUAAACAGAGGGACACUUCGAAAUAGCGGAACCCGGGCGUUGGUUGACCCGGGCGAAAGGGACCGAAAUAUAGUAGGGAAGUCCGCGAUGCUCGGAGGCGAGAAAAGCUCAUGUGUAUACUAAGGUGCCCGUACCGCAAACCGACACAGGUAGAUGAGGAGAGAAUCCUAAGGCCAACGGGAGAAGGGUUGUUAAGGAACUCGGCAAAUUGACCCCGUAACUUCGGGAGAAGGGGUGCUCCAGAGAUGGAGCCGCAGAGAAUCGGCCCAAGCAACUGUUUACCAAAAACACAGGUUUGUGCUAAAUCGAAAGAUGACGUAUACGAGCUGACGCCUGCCCGGUGCUGGAAGGUUAAGAGGAGAUGUGCAAGCAUUGAAUCGAAGCCCCAGUGAACGGCGGCCGUAACUAUAACGGUCCUAAGGUAGCGAAAUUCCUUGUCAGGUAAGUUCUGACCCGCACGAAAGGCGUAACGAUUUGGGCGCUGUCUCAGCUGUAGACUCGGUGAAGUCUUAGUACCUGUGAAGAUGCAGGUUACCCGCGACUAGACGGAAAGACCCCAUGGAGCUUCACUGCAGGUUGAUAUUGGGAUUUGAUGCAGCAUGUACAGGAUAGGUAGGAGGCAAAGAGAUGGAUACGCCAGUAUUCAAGGAGCCGCUGUUGGGAUACUACCCCUGUUGUAUUGGAUUUCUAACCGGACGACGUAGAGCCGUUGACGGGACAGUGUCAGUCGGGCAGUUUGACUGGGGCGGUCGCCUCCCAAAGAGUAACGGAGGCGCCCAAAGAUACCCUCAGCUUGGAUGGAAACCAAGCGCAGAGUGCAAAGGCAAAAGGGUGUUUGACUGCGAGACCAACAAGUCGAGCAGGGACGAAAGUCGGGCUUAGUGAUCCGGCGGUGCUGAAUGGAAAGGCCGUCGCUCAACGGAUAAAAGCUACCCUGGGGAUAACAGGCUGAUCUCCCCCAAGAGUCCACAUCGACGGGGAGGUUUGGCACCUCGAUGUCGGCUCAUCGCAUCCUGGGGCUGUAUUCGGUCCCAAGGGUUUGGCUGUUCGCCAAUUAAAGCGGUACGCGAGCUGGGUUCAGAACGUCGUGAGACAGUUCGGUCCCUAUCUGUCGUGGGCGCAGGAAAUUUGAGAAGAGCUGUCCUCAGUACGAGAGGACCGGGAUGGACGCAUCAAUGGUGGACCAGUUGUCACGCCAGUGGCAUAGCUGGGUAGCUAAAUGCGGAAGGGAUAAACGCUGAAGGCAUCUAAGUGUGAAACCCACUUCAAGAUGAGAUUUCCCAUUGCGCAAGCAAGUAAGACCCCUUAAAGACGAUAAGGUAGAUAGGUCAGGAGUGUAAGCAUGGUGACAUGUUAAGCGGACUGAUACUAAUAGGUCGAGGGCUUGACCGA